CUUGUGUCUGCAGGUGUCCUGUCUGAGGUGCAGCUGGUGGAGUCUGGGGGAGACCUGGUGAAGCCUGGGGGUUCCCUGAGACUCUCCUGUGCAGCCUCUGGAUUCACCUUCAGUAGCUAUGGCAUGAGCUGGGUCCACCAGGCCCCAGGGAAGGGGCUGCAGUGGGUCGCAGAUAUUAGCAAGGGUGGUAGUUACACAUACUACACAGACUCUGUGAAGGGCCGAUUCACCAUCUCCAGAGACAAUGGCAAGAACACGCUGUAUCUGCAGAUGAACAGCCUGAGAACCGAGGACACGGCCGUGUAUUACUGUGCAACAGACACAGUUCUCAAUGGGUUGGAGGAUACUCACCUGCACUGGGAACGGAAACCUGUUACACAGCAGGAAUCCAAUGCUAAUAUCACCUAG